rnacentral:rRNA from 1 species
CAAUAUCGUAUAUUAAAAUUGUUGCGGUUAAGAAAGCUCGUGGUUGGAUUUCUGCCGAGGACGACCGGUCCGCCCUCUGGGUGAAUAUCUGGCUCGGCCCGGGCAUCCUGUGGUGCGGUAUCCAAGACUUUUACUUUGAGGAAAUUAGAGUGUUUCAAGCAGGCAUACGCCUUGAAUACAUUAGCAUGGAAUAAUAAGAUAGGACCUCGGUUCUAUUUUGUUGGUUUCUAGAGCUGAGGUAAUGAUUAAUAGGGAUAGUUGGGGGCAUUCGUAUUAACCGGUCAGAGGUGGAAUUCUUGGAUUCGGUUACGACGAACUACUGCGAAAGCAUUUGCCAAGGAUGUUUUCAUUGAUCAAGAACGAAAGUGUGGGGAUCGAAGACGAUCAGAUACCGU